CCCGACUGCUAUCGGAUUGAGAUUUAGCCAUGCGAGUCGAACGUCCCCCUCUUGCGGGGGGCGUGGCGUACGGCUCAGUAACACGUAGUCAACCUGCCCUGGAGACAUGGACAACCCCGGGAAACUGGGAUUAAUCCGUGAUAGGUCAUCUCAUCUGGAAGGAGAGAUGGCUUAAAGGGGUGCGCGGGCUUCUUCCGUGCAUUCGCUCCAGGAUGGGACUGCGUCCGAUCAGGCUGUUGGCGGGGUAAUGGCCCACCAAACCUGUAACCGGUACGGGCCUUGAGAGAGGUGGCCCGGAGAUGGACACUGAGAGAAGGGUCCAGGUCCUACGGGGCGCAGCAGGCGCGAAACCUUCGCAAUGCGCGAAAGCGUGACGAGGUUAAUCCGAGUGGCCCCCGCUGAGGGGGUCUUUUGUCAGCUGUAAAUAGGCAGGCGAAUAAGGGGAGGGCAAGCCUGGUGU
rnacentral:rRNA from 1 species